UGACAAGGGCAGGUACCUCAAUCCCAC
rnacentral:piRNA from 1 species